CGACUCUCGGCAACGGAUAUCUCGGCUCUCGCAUCGAUGAAGAACGUAGCGAAAUGCGAUACUUGGUGUGAAUUGCAGAAUCCCGUGAACCAUCGAGUUUUUGAACGCAUGUUGCGCCCAAAGCCAUUAGGCUAAGGGCACGUCUGCCUGGGCGUCAC
rnacentral:rRNA from 1 species